rnacentral:misc_RNA from 1 species
AACGCAAAUUGCACUCUCUGGUAUUCCGGAGAGUAUGCCUGUUUGAGGGUCAUUAAAAUGUCAGGAUCGUUUUUGUCGCCUUUUGUGACAUUUUCGGAAUUGAGCUUUUUUUCUUUUUUGACCUUUCUUCGGGAUUGUUGAAAGAAGAGGCUUAAAAUUGAUAUCGUUUAUGAUAUAUGACUUACGUUUUUAAAUACAUAAUAGUAAGUUCGUGUCAUACAUCCUUUAUUAGGUCGUGGAGACGAAAGUUUUUCAUGAAAAGUUUUCAAUGACCCAUAAUUUUUAAUCAUCAAAUGACCUCAAAUCAGGUAGGAAUACCCGCCGAACUUAA